rnacentral:rRNA from 1 species
AACGUAGGUCACAAGCGUUGUCCGGAAUUACUGGGUGUAAAGGGAGCGCAGGCGGGAAGACAAGUUGGAAGUGAAAUCCAUGGGCUCAACCCAUGAACUGCUUUCAAAACUGUUUUUCUUGAGUAGUGCAAAGGUAGGCGGAAUUCCCGGUGUAGCGGUGGAAUGCGUAGAUAUCGGGAGGAACACCAGUGGCGAAGGCGGCCUACUGGGCACCAACUGACGCUGAGGCUCGAAAGUGUGGGUAGCAAACAGG